UAUGCGUGGUGGCCAGCAGUAGUCAGUGCCACUCUGCAACGGCACAUGUGGCUUCCCACACCAGGGGAGCAGCGCAAGGAUGUGCAUCUUUAGGACCUACAGGGAGGAGACACUGGGGGUGGCUGCCUGAGGAAAUGACCGCUUCCAGCAACAGCAAGCACCGAGGUUUAUAGAGAAGAGUAGAGGGCGAAGAGAGGAGCCUGGGUACUGGGCAGAGCCAGCUUCUAUUAGACUAUUGGUUUCUCUCCACACGAUGAUGGUUACGGCCCUACUGCUGAAGACAACACCCACAGAAACCUAUCGCUUUCACCCCUACUGAUGAGUGUUUAUGGUUCUGGAAACUACUCUGCACACUGUCAGAGGAGAAAGAUAAAGAGCAGCCCAGCUACAAACAAACCCUGCAACCUACCAUGGUGACCAGCCUACAAGAGACGCAUUCUGGUGCAUUCAUGGUACAAACCAUCCUCUAUCUGACUGGCAUCCAGGCUCAGUCCAUGAGCCGACGGGACCCAUGCUCAACACUGUCUGUGUGGCCACGAACCUGAGCCUGGUAAGCCGUGGACCAGUGUUCUGCUAAAGGAGUGUAGCAAUAAAAAUGACUUCUAAUAACGUCCCUUGGUCCUCAUAGAUCAGUGUCUUGCUCAGCCAAGAUCAGAAAAGUUUUCUCCUGCAGCAUAUGGGAACAUAGAGACCCACAACUGGACAAUGUGCAGGGAGUGGAGACCUGGGAACACUCAAUCCUAAAUGGGGUGUUUCUAUCAAAUCGCUCCCCUCAGGGCUCGGGGAACCCUAUGGAUGAGGAGGUGGAAAGAUGGUCAGGGCCAGAGAGGCUAGAGACCACCAGGAAACAGUGUCUUCCAGAUACGACGGGACACACAUGCAUGCACUCACGCAUGCACACAGGAUCACACAAGCUGAGGCAGCAUGCACAGCUGAGAGGAAGUAGACACAAGUCCCAUCCCUAACCUGGAUGCUGUCUCCAAUUAAUAACUUCUCUCAAAGGGAAAAUUAGUUUUCUCCAAGGGAGUCUCACUGGGUAUACAAACUGCUCCUCAGGGCUGUCCCAGCCCGGCAGUCGAUGGCCAACAGAAAGCUAACUCAGAAGUAUUUGGGAGGUUUUCUUUGUCUCACAAUGCUUUCUCUGGCCCAUUUGUUUGUCCGUUUGUUUGUUUGUUGUUGUUUUUAGCCUUACAGAUCUUUUAUUUAUAUAUUAUGGUUUCUGAUUUUUGUUUGUACAGAGUUUCUGCGUGAGUCUCAGUGUCUGUACGCGUUCCGUGUGCUUUUUCCUUGGUUCCUUUUUUUUUCUUUUUCCCUAUUCUG